rnacentral:tRNA from 1 species
GAGGGUAUAGCUCAGUGGUAGAGUGCGUGCUUAGCAUGCACAAGGUCCUGGGUUCAAUCCCCAGAGCUUCCA